rnacentral:rRNA from 1 species
CCUACGGGAGGCAGCAGUGAGGAAUAUUGGUCAAUGGGCGCAAGCCUGAACCAGCCAAGUCGCGUGCAGGAUGACUGCCCUACGGGUUGUAAACUUCUUUUGUAAGGGAGUAAAGUGCGGCACGUGUGCCUUUUUGUAUGUACUUUAUGAAUAAGGAUCGGCUAACUCCGUGCCAGCAGCCGCGGUAAUACGGAGGAUCCGAGCGUUAUCCGGAUUUAUUGGGUUUAAAGGGAGCGUAGAUGGGUUGUUAAGUCAGUUGUGAAAGUUUGCGGCUCAACCGUAAAAUUGCAAUUGAUACUGGCAGUCUUGAGUACAGUUGAGGUAGGCGGAAUGCGUGGUGUAGCGGUGAAAUGCUUAGAUAUCACGAAGAACACCGAUUGCGAAGGCAGCUUACUAAACUGCAACUGACAUUGAUGCUCGAAAGUGUGGGUAGCAAACAGGAUUAGAUACCCGUGUAGUC